ACGGGUGAGUAAUGUCUGGGAAACUGCCUGAUGGAGGGGGAUAACUACUGGAAACGGUAGCUAAUACCGCAUAACGUCGCAAGACCAAAGAGGGGGACCUUCGGGCCUCUUGCCAUCAGAUGUGCCCAGAUGGGAUUAGCUAGUAGGUGGGGUAACGGCUCACCUAGGCGACGAUCCCUAGCUGGUCUGAGAGGAUGACCAGCCACACUGGAACUGAGACACGGUCCAGACUCCUACGGGAGGCAGCAGUGGGGAAUAUUGCACAAUGGGCGCAAGCCUGAUGCAGCCAUGCCGCGUGUAUGAAGAAGGCCUUCGGGUUGUAAAGUACUUUCAGCGGGGAGGAAGGUGUUGUGGUUAAUAACCACAGCAAUUGACGUUACCCGCAGAAGAAGCACCGGCUAACUCCGUGCC
rnacentral:rRNA from 1 species